GAUGAACGCUGGCGGCGUGCCUAAUACAUGCAAGUCGAGCGAAUGGAUUAAGAGCUUGCUCUUAUGAAGUUAGCGGCGGACGGGUGAGUAACACGUGGGUAACCUGCCCAUAAGACUGGGAUAACUCCGGGAAACCGGGGCUAAUACCGGAUAACAUUUUGAACCGCAUGGUUCGAAAUUGAAAGGCGGCUUCGGCUGUCACUUAUGGAUGGACCCGCGUCGCAUUAGCUAGUCGGUGAGGUAACGGCUCACCAAGGCAACGAUGCGUAGCCGACCUGAGAGGGUGAUCGGCCACACUGGGACUGAGACACGGCCCAGACUCCUACGGGAGGCAGCAGUAGGGAAUCUUCCGCGAUGGACGAAAGUCUGACGGAGCAACGCCGCGUGAGUGAUGAAGGCUUUCGGGUCGUAAAACUCUGUUGCUAGGGAAGAACAAGUGCUAGUUGAAUAAGCUGGCACCUUGACGGUACCUAACCAGAAAGCCACGGCUAACUACGUGCCAGCCGCCGCCGUAA
rnacentral:rRNA from 1 species